GCCCGCUUGGCUCACCGGUAGAGCGCCUCACUAGUAAGGUGAAAAAUUGAUUUGAUUAAAAUCAAUUUACCUGAAGUGAUGAGGAGGCAACUGGUUCGACUCCAGUAGUGGGCA